GCCUUCGUGAUGUAACUGGAAGCCUGUUCGACUUGUAAUUGGACAGUCCGGAGUUCGAAUCCCGGUGAUGGCA
rnacentral:tRNA from 1 species